rnacentral:rRNA from 1 species
AUUGAACGCUGGCGGCAUGCCUUACACAUGCAAGUCGAACGGUAGCAUGUCCUUCGGGAUGAUGACGAGUGGCGAACGGGUGAGUAAUAUGUAGAAAUAUACAUAUAGGUGGGGGAUAACUACUCGAAAGAGUAGCUAAUACCGCAUAACAUCUACGGAUUAAAGCAGGGGAUCGUAAGACCUUGUGCCAAUAGAAUAGCCUACAUCCGAUUAGCUAGUUGGUAGAGUAAAAGCCUACCAAGGCCACGAUCGGUAACUGGUCUGAGAGGAUGAUCAGUCACACUGGAACUGAGACACGGUCCAGACUCCUACGGGAGGCAGCAGUGGGGAAUUUUGGACAAUGGGCGAAAGCCUGAUCCAGCAAUGCCGCGUGGGUGAAGAAGGCCUUCGGGUUGUAAAGCCCUUUCGGAUAGAAAGAAAACUCUUACUCUAACAUAGUGAGAGAAUGACGGUACUAUCAUAAGAAGCACCGGCUAACUACGUGCCAGCAGCCGCCGUAAUAC